UCCGGUUUGUCACCGGCAGUCUGCUUAGAGUGCCCACCAUUGCGUGCUGGCAACUAAGCAUAAGGGUUGCGCUCGUUGCGGGACUUAACCCAACAUCUCACGACACGAGCUGACGACAACCAUGCACCACCUGUCUCCUCUGUCCCGAAGGCCCACUCUAUCUCUAAAGUGUUCAGAGGGAUGUCAAGACCUGGUAAGGUUCUUCGCGUUGCUUCGAAUUAAACCACAUACUCCACUGCUUGUGCGGGUCCCCGUCAAUUCCUUUGAGUUUCAGUCUUGCGACCGUACUCCCCAGGCGGAGUGCUUACUGUGUUAACUUCGGCACCAAGGGUAUCGAAACCCCUAACACCUAGCACUCAUCGUUUACGGCGUGGACUAC
rnacentral:misc_RNA from 1 species